CACGUAGGGCGCAAGCGUUGUCCGGAAUUAUUGGGCGUAAAGGGCUCGUAGGCGGUCUGUCACGUCGGGAGUGAAAACUCAGGGCUUAACCCUGAGCCUGCUUCCGAUACGGGCUGACUAGAGGUAUGCAGGGGAGAACGGAAUUCCUGGUGUAGCGGUGAAAUGCGUAGAUAUCUGGAGGAACACCGGUGGCGAAGGCGGCAUCCUGGACCAACACUGACGCUGAGGAGCGAAAGCCAGGGGAGCAAACGGG
rnacentral:rRNA from 1 species